UACGUAGGUGGCAAGCGUUGUUCGGAGUUACUGGGCGUAAAGAGUGUGUAGGCGGUUUUCUAAGUUUGGUGUGAAAUCUCCCGGCUUAACUGGGAGGGUGCGCCGAAGACUGGAAGGCUUGAGUAUGGGAGAGGAAAGCGGAAUUCCUGGUGUAGCGGUGAAAUGCGUAGAUAUCAGGAGGAACACCUGUGGUGUAGACGGCUUUCUGGACCAUCACUGACGCUGAGACACGAAAGCGUGGGUAGCAAACAGG
rnacentral:rRNA from 1 species